CCUACGGGAGGCAGCAGUGGGGAAUAUUGGGCAAUGGAGGCAACUCUGACCCAGCAACGCCGCGUGAAUGAUGAAGGUCUUCGGAUUGUAAAGUUCUGUGAUGGGGGAUGAACACAAUGACGGUACCCCAAUAGCAAGCCACGGCUAACUACGUGCCAGCAGCCGCGGUAAUACGUAGGUGGCAAGCGUUAUACGGAAUGACUGGGCGUAAAGGGGGCGUAGGUGGUUUAGUAAGUUGGCGGUGUAAUUCCGGGGCUCAACCUCGGCGCUACCGCCAAAACUAUUAGACUAGAGUGCAGGAGGGGGAAGUGGAAUUCCUAGUGUAGCGGUGGAAUGCGUAGAUAUUAGGAGGAACAUCAGGGGCGAAGGCGACUUACUGGACUGUAACUGACACUGAGGCACGAAAGCGUGGGGAGCAAACAGGAUUAGAUACCCCUGUAGUC
rnacentral:rRNA from 1 species